AUGCUCUGGUUUCUCUUCAGAAUGAACAAAUCUUUUGCUUUUUACUAAAGAUUUCCAUGGAGAGGAGCAAAACUGAGUUUUAUCUCAAUUGUUGCAUGCUCCAUCUUAUUGGGUUU